rnacentral:miRNA from 1 species
AGGCAGCAGGGUAUAGUGGACA